GAUGAACGCUAGCUACAGGCUUAACACAUGCAAGUCGAGGGGUAGCACGGAGGAAGCUUGCUUCUUUGGGUGACGACCGGCGCACGGGUGAGUAACGCGUAUCCGACCUACCCAUAACACGGGCACAGCCGCUCGAAAGAGUGAUUGAUUCCCGAUAUGUCAUAUAAGUAGAUUAUAUGAUGAAAGAUUUAUCGGUUAUGGAUGGGGAUGCGUAAGAUUAGGUAGUAGGCGGGGUAACGGCCCACCUAGCCGACGAUCUUUAGGGGUUCUGAGAGGAAGGUCCCCCACACUGGUACUGAGACACGGACCAG
rnacentral:rRNA from 1 species